UACGAAGGGGGCUAGCGUUGUUCGGAUUCACUGGGCGUAAAGCGCACGUAGGCGGAUCGUUAAGUCGGGGGUGAAAUCCUGGAGCUCAACUCCAGAACUGCCUUCGAUACUGGCGAUCUUGAGUCCGGAAGAGGUGAGUGGAACUCCUAGUGUAGAGGUGGAAUUCGUAGAUAUUAGGAAGAACACCAGUGGCGAAGGCGGCUCAGUGGUCCGGUACUGACGCUGAGGUGCGAAAGCGUGGGGAGCAAACAGG
rnacentral:rRNA from 1 species